GACGAACGCUGGCGGCGUGCUUAACACAUGCAAGUCGAACGGAAAGGCCCUGCUUUUGUGGGGUGCUCGAGUGGCGAACGGGUGAGUAACACGUGAGUAACCUGCCCUUGACUUUGGGAUAACUUCAGGAAACUGGGGCUAAUACCGGAUAGGAGCUCCUGCUGCAUGGUGGGGGUUGGAAAGUUUCGGCGGUUGGGGAUGGACUCGCGGCUUAUCAGCUUGUUGGUGGGGUAGUGGCUUACCAAGGCUUUGACGGGUAGCCGGCCUGAGAGGGUGACCGGCCACAUUGGGACUGAGAUACGGCCCAGGCUCCUACGGGAGGCAGCAGUGGGGAAUAUUGCACAAUGGGCGGAAGCCUGAUGCAGCAACGCCGCGUGCGGGAUGACGGCCUUCGGGUUGUAAACCGCUUUCGCCUGUGACGAGGCGUGAGUGACGGUAAUGGGGAAAGAAGCACCGGCUAACUACGU
rnacentral:rRNA from 1 species